rnacentral:rRNA from 1 species
AGUGAACGCUGGCGGUAGGCCUAACACAUGCAAGUCGAACGGCAGCACAGUAAGAGCUUGCUCUUACGGGUGGCGAGUGGCGGACGGGUGAGGAAUACAUCGGAAUCUACUUUUUCGUGGGGGAUAACGUAGGGAAACUUACGCUAAUACCGCAUACGACCUACGGGUGAAAGCAGGGGAUCUUCGGACCUUGCGCGAUUGAAUGAGCCGAUGUCGGAUUAGCUAGUUGGCGGGGUAAAGGCCCACCAAGGCGACGAUCCGUAGCUGGUCUGAGAGGAUGGUCAGCCACACUGGAACUGAGACACGGUCCAGACUCCUUCGGGAGGCAGCCGUGGGGAAUCUUGGAGAAUGGGCGCAAGCCUGAUCCCGCCAUACCGCGUGGGUGAAGAAGGCCUUCGGGUUGUAAAGCCCUUUUGUUGGGAAAGAAAACCAGCAGGUUAAUACCCCGCUGUUCUGACGGUACCCAAAGAAUAAGCCCCGGCCAACUUCGUG